rnacentral:rRNA from 1 species
GACGAACGCUGGCGGCGUGCCUAACACAUGCAAGUCGAGCGGGGUCCAUCCGGUGGCAACACCGGGGAAGACCUAGCGGCGAACGGGUGAGUAACACGUGAGAAACCUGCCCCGAAAUCUGGGAUAACCCGGGGAAACUCGGACUAAUACCGGAUGCCCUUCACAGAUCGCAUGGUCCGUGAAGGAAAGAAUUUCGUUUCGGGAGGGUCUCGCGGCCUAUCAGCUAGUUGGUGGGGUAACGGCCCACCAAGGCAUCGACGGGUAGCUGGUCUGAGAGGACGAUCAGCCACACUGGGACUGAGACACGGCCCAGACUCCUACGGGUGGCAG